rnacentral:rRNA from 1 species
GAUUAUGGCUCAGGAUGAACGCUGGCGGCGUGCCUAACACAUGCAAGUCGAGCGAUUUACUUCGGUAAAGAGCGGCGGACGGGUGAGUAACGCGUGGGUAACCUGCCUCAUACACAUGGAUAACAUACCGAAAGGUAUGCUAAUACAGGAUAAUAUAAGAGAUUCACAUGGAUUUCUUAUCAAAGCUCCGGCGGUAUGAGAUGGACCCGCGUCUGAUUAGCUAGUUGGUAAGGUAAUGGCUUACCAAGGCGACGAUCAGUAGCCGACCUGAGAGGGUGAUCGGCCACAUUGGAACUGAGACACGGUCCAAACUCCUACGGGAGGCAGCAGUGGGGAAUAUUGCACAAUGGGCGAAAGCCUGAUGCAAGCAAUGCCGCGUGAGUGAUGAAGGCCUUCGGGUCGUAAAACUCUGUCCUCAAGGAAGAUAAUGACGGUACUUGAGGAGGAAGCCCCGGCUAACUACGUGCCAGCCGCUGC